rnacentral:rRNA from 1 species
UACGGGGGGGGGCAAGCGUUGUUCGGAAUUACUGGGCGUAAAGGGCUCGUAGGCGGCCAACUAAGUCAUACGUGAAAUCCCUCAGCUUAACUGGGGAACUGCGUGUGAUACUGGAUGGCUUGGAUUGGGAGAGGGAUGCGGAAUUCCAGGUGUAGCGGUGAAAUGCGUAGAUAUCUGGAGGAACACCGGUGGCGAAGGCGGCAUCCUGGACCAAUAUUGACGCUGAGGAGCGAAAGCUAGGGGAGCAAACGGG